CUCAGCCAAGGAGGUGAGCAUGGGCGGGGCAAGUCGAGACUGGACCUGCACAGUACUGGAAAAAGCUGAAUAAAUUACUUUUUAGCAAGGGGUAAGGUGGAAUAAAUGGCUACUUAGACCUAUAGUGUCAGAAAUACACCCUUAUAUAGCUGACACUAUAGUGUUCCUUUAAGUGAAGUACUCAGGAUUCAUUAUAGGCGAAUAUUGGUGCUUUUGUACUGCUUGUUUCACAAUGUUGCACCAUGACAUUGGUAAACUACUACUCACUGUAGUGAGAACUCCUUCAGCCCUGCUUGUAUUUAUUGUGAUGUACAAUUAUUACAAAUUGUAUAUCAAUUUGAUAUCUACUAGAUGGCGGGACUCAGCCACUCAGCCAUGACCCUUGGGAACCUUAUAGAAACUGAAGCCAGAUCAGUUUUAGACGUACAAAAUGCCAGGUCUAGUGGUGCCAGGUAUAAGUUACGCUAAACGUGCAACACUAGUCUCGCUUCAUAACAUAGCCUGCAUGUCAUUGCUAAAUUAACCCUUUCAUUCUGCAGUGGAGAGCAGUGAAAUGAAAUGUUCUCUUUUGUGGUGCUGAAAGAGAAAUAAAAUAGUAAAAUUACAAAAUAAUACAUCUAGGAUCUGUGAAAGCUCAGUAUGUAUAAAAAAAAAAUCCUUCUUGACUCCAGAAUUCUAGUCAGUUUUUCCUUGAAUCAAAAGGGGGAAAAAAUACAGAAUAUGUACAGACUCAGAUAAAACAACCUAGGCUGAUAAUUUCAUACCUUUAUUAUAACUUUAACACGCCAAGCACCAUAACUACUACUGCACACUGUAGUGCACUUAAUGCCCUUAGCAACAUCUGACUGAUGUAGCAUAUUGUUGCCUAGUCUGUUGUCUUUUUUUUUUUUUUUACUUUUUCUUAUAUUUCAGAAGUGUAUUUUUUUUUCCUGGUGCAUCUGUGAUUUAGGCCUUGGUACUCUUGUCAUCAUGAACAUAUCCUGAAAUUUAUUAAGUGUUUCUAUGUCUCAUAUUAACUCCCCGUGUCCCACACCGAUCCCCUGCCCCCACCUUAUAAAUUAAAGGUCUUGAGAGGUAAAUUCAGCAUUAUAGUGAUGUAUAUUAGGUAAACAAUUCCAUUUUGUUUAUCCAUGUAUCCCAGUCUUCUAUUUGAGUAUAUCUAUUUCCUAAGUUCACCAAGAUACCCCUUUCCAUUUUUGCCUGUCAUAUGACUUGUAUAAUUAGUUCUUGAGUGCCUGGGAUUGUCCCUAAUUUUCCAAUUUUGCGCUAAUUUAAUUUAGCUGCCGUGAUGAUAUGCAGCGUUAACAUUCGUGUAUUAUUUGUCAUUUUUGGCCAGUUCAAGUUUAACAAGACCACUUCAGGCUUUAAGACUAAAUUAAUUUCUGUUAUUUGAUAUAUUGCUUUGAUUACCUCUUCCCAAGAUUUGUUUAUGGGUGCGCAUUGCCACCAUAAAUGGAUCAAAUUGCCUUCAUUAACGAUGCAUUUCCAGCAUCUCUCUGAUGAUUCAGGGAAAAUUUUCUUUAGACGUUUUGGUGUAAGGUACCAUCUAUUAGAGAGUUUGAAUUGCGUUUCCUAUCCACUUUUUCCCAUUUAUUAAUCAAUUCUAUUGGUUUAUCAUGUCUCCAUCUAUACAUAACUUUGGUGCAUUUUGCCAACAGGUUUUUAUAAUUCUUUAGUUCAAGUAACUGUUUAAGAUUUAUAUUUUUCUCCCCCUUGUUUUUCAAGAGGAAUUCUGUUAUGAAGCCCUUAAUUCGCAAAUAAUUAAAGGUUUCUUUGGAGGGGAAUAUUAAAUUCCUCCAUAAUUUGAUUGAAGGACUUGAUUUUAUGUUCCACUAAUAUGUUUUUAAAGUACCGUAUAUACUCGUGUAUAAGUCGAUCUCAUGUAUAAGUCGAGAGCAGUUUUGUGACCAACAAUUGUGAAAUAUGCUAUGCCUCGUGGAUAAGUCGAGGGUAAAACUUGGGGCUAUGAAAUUCAGUGAUUUUUAUAAUUAUAUACACACACUCAUACAAACACACACUCUGCAUUAUAUAUACACACUCAUACAAACACACACUCUGCAUUAUAUAUACACACACACACUCAUACAAACACACACUCUGCAUUAUAUAUACACACACACACUCAUACAAACACACACUCUGCAUUAUAUAUACACACACACACUCAUAUAAACACACACUCUGCAUUAUAUACACACACUCGCUCAUACAAACACACACUCUAUAUUAUAUACACAUACUCACUCAUACAAACACACACUCUGCAUUAUAUACACACUCAAUAUAAUCUGCAUAUAAUCCACAACAAUAUAAAAUCUGAAUGAUUAAAAUAUUUAAAUAAAUUAAAACAAACAGCAGCACUCAAUUUAGCAUCACUACAGAAGUAGCACCACAAAUUUACCUUUAUAACUCUGUGUGUAUAUAAUGCAGAGUGUGUGUUUGUGUAGUGUGUGUGAACUGGGUGGGGUGAGGGCAUUUUUAUUAUUGUAAUUUUUUUUAUUUUAAUAUUAUUAUUUUAUUAUUUUAAAAAAAAAUUUGUCCCCCCCCCUCCCUGCUUGUUAACUGGUCAGGGAGGGGGGCUAUCUUAAUCCCUGGUGGUCCAGUGGCAUGGGCUGUGCAUUGGGGGGGCCGGCAGGAAGCAUUUACUAACCUUUCCUGCAGCUCCUGUCAGCUCCCUUCUCCUCCGUUCCGGUCAGCUCCACUGUAAGUCUCGCGGUCUGGUUGCCGUGCGGAUCAUUGCCACAGCUCUGACUGCCGCGGCUCUCUAAGUUGCCAUAAUACAUAAUACAGACAGUGACUCGAGUAUAAGUCGAGUGGUGGUUUUUAAGCACAAAAAAUGUGUUGAAAAACUAGACUUAUACUUGAGUAUAUACUGUAUGUAUUUUAAUAUUGUCUAACAUAUCUAGAAUCUGUCUAACAUAUCUAGAAUCUAUUAUUUUGUUUCUGAAUCCUAUGUUAAUUUGUCCUACCAACUUGUUAAUUCUUUGAGUAUCUGUGAUUUAGUUCGUGCCUCUAUAAUUAAUUUUCUAUUCGUAUCUUAGACCCAAAAUAGCGAGGAUAGGUUUCUUACCCCUGUUUUAUGUUUUUCCAUUUCAUACCAUGUUUCUUGAAUUGCUGCAUUAUUUUGUGAAAGCAGUAUAUGAAAUAGCCUACUGGCCUGGUAACAUUUUGAAAUUUCUGGGCACCCCAAUCCUCCAUCUUGCCUAGCCCUCGCCAAAACUUUCAUUUUAACCCUUGCUUUCUUACCUCCCCAUACAAACUUAAAAAAAGAUGAAUGUAGUAACGAUAGCCAAUUUUCUGGGAAAUUUAGAGGGAUCAUUCUCCAUAAGUACAUUUUGGUAAAAUGGAUGCUUUUAAGAUGUUGAUCCUGCCCGACCAGGAAAAGCCCAAGCCUUUCCAAUCCCUUAAAUUUUUAUUUGUUUGUUUUAAUAUAGUUAAAAAGUUGGCUUCUAUUAGAUCUUUCAGAUCUGAAGUUAAAGUUAUGCCUAAAUACUUUAGCCUAUCUUUAUUUUUGGGGAGCCCGAUGUUUUGUACGAGAAAGUCAGUUAACCUUUUAUUCAUAUUUUUAGCUAUAAAUUCUCCAGAUUCAUUUUGUAACCUGAGACUUUAGAGUAUUUACUUAUCUCCUUUAGAAGCUCUAGAACCAAAAUUUUAGGUUCUUCUAAUGAUAGUAGGAUCUCAUCUGCAUAGAUAUUUAAUUUUAUUUGUCCUACUGCAUUCGUAAAACCUUUAAUUUUGUUAUUUUGUCUUAUUGAAAUUGCAAGGGGUUCUAUCACCAUUAUAUACAAUAAGGAAGAAAGAGGGCACCCUUGACUGGUCCCGUUUUUAAUAUUGAAGUUUUGUGAUGUAAAACCUGACCCUGUUACCAUUGCCGAUGGAGAGAUGUAGAGAGCGGAUAUGGCUUGUAAUAUUGAUCCAGUGAUUCCAAAUAGUUUUAAGGUGGCGAACAUGAAGCCCCAUCCAACCCUGUCAAACACUUUCUCUGCGUCUACUGACCGUAACAUUAGAGGGGUUUCAUUGUUCUCUGUUUCUUCUAGAAUGUUUAUUAUUUUUCUAAAAUUGUUGAUUGAGGACCUCCCUGGUAUAAAACCUACUUGAUCAUUAUUGAUUAACUGUGGUAUAACUAUUUUUAAUCUGUCAGCAAGGAUAGAGGAUAGUAUUUUAAUAUCGGUAUUAAUUAAUGAAAUGGGUCUGUACUUAGUAAUCAGUUCUGGUUCUUUGUCUGCUUUUGGGAUGGGGACAAUAUUCACUCUCAACAGCUCUCCAGGGCAACAUCCUGUUUUCAUUAUGCAGUUAAAAAUGGUAGUGAGUUCCUUUUUUAGUUGAUCUUUCAUUAGUUUAUAGAAUUUGUUUGAAAAGCCAUCUGGGUCUGGUGCAGUAUUUAUUUUAAGUUUAUCUAUAGAUUUACUAACCACUUCUGCUGUUAUGGGCUGGUUUAUCAGCUUUAAUUGGUCUGACAGGAUUUUUGGCAUAAUUAUACUUUUGAAGAAUUUCUCUAUCUCUUUUUCCCUACCAAAUAGCUCUUCUGGUAAAUUAUAUAAGUCCCGAUAAAAUCCUUUGAAGGCACUUCCUAUUUUUCCUGGGGCCAUUAGGUAAGUAUCUUUAUCUUUUAUUUUAUGUAUUACUUUUUAUGUUUCUCUUUUUUAAGUGUAUUGGUCAUUAGUGCUUCUGGCUUAUUUCCCUUUAAAUACCACUUAGAUUUUAGUGCUUCUAGCUGUUUGGUUGCUUUGUUCAUUUACUGGUUAUUUAUCUGUUUUUCUGUUUCUGCAAUCUUACUUGAUAUUUGUGUGGAAAGUGUUAUUUUAUUCUGCCUUUUGUAUUCACUUAGCAUUAUAUAUAAUUUGAAGAGAGGCGGUGUUCCUUCUUUGUUUGUGGUGGCUGCCAUUUUUAUCAUGUGGCCUCUAGCUACACUUUUGUAGGCGCACCAGACCAGCCUAGUCUGUUGUCUUUAGCUAUUUAUAAGUCAUUUAUUGUCUUACUUUACUGUACUUGGUAUUAUUUAUGAUACAAGUUGCUGGAGCAUUCCUCAUCCCAAAAUGUGUAACUUUGCAUGUAUAUACAUUAAAUAUUAUCUAUCUCAUGAUUGCCUAGUCCCUAAUUUAUUCAAAAAAACAUACAGUGAAGUAACAUCCUGCUUAGACUGUUUUGUGUCAUCUGUAAAAACCAACACAUGCAGGGCUGGUGCAAGGAUUUUUGCCGCCCUAGGCAAAAGAAAAAUUUGCCGCCCCCCAUAUGCGCUGCCCACCAUGUGAAAUCACAAUGCCCCACCCAUAUGAUCUGUCAUAUGAACCAACACCAGUGCUGCACACAGUGUGUGUUUACAUUAAAAAGCCUACAGGGACAGGCUAUAGACACCAAAACCACUACAUUAAGCUGCAGUGGUUCUGGGGACAAUAGUGCCCCGUUAAUUUGAGUUAAAUUUGAAAUUAGUGUCACUAGUAAUAUACUAGAUUGCCUACUUACAACCAGAUGAGGAUGAUGAUAGGCUCUGGCUGCAGUCUGGCUCCACUGGUUUGGUGUAUUACAGGCUCUCUGGAGGCUGUUUGUAACUGUUGUCACAAAAAUCAAUGUUCUGGGGGAACGGGAAGUGUACAACGGAUUCAAGGUGUGUUUAUGUGUAUUUAAGGGAUGCAUUGUGUGUGUCUGUAAGGGGUGCAAGAGAAGCAGUGUGUUUCUGUGUGUGUGUGUGUGUGUGUGCAAGGGAUGAAUUGUGUGUUUCUGUGUGUAAGGGAUGCAGUGUGUGUGUGUAAGGGAUGCAUUGUGUGUUUCUGUGUAUGUGUGCAAGGGAUGCAUUCAGUGUUUCUCUGUGUGUAAGGGAAGCAUGGUGUGUGUGUGUGUGUGUGUGUGUGUGCAUGUGCAUGUGUGUGUAUGUGUGUAUUGUGAAAGAGAGUUUGUGGGGUAGGAUAGGGGCUGAGAGGGGAGCAGAAAAAAAAUAUAGAUAUAUAAAAAAAUAUUUUUGUUUAUGUUUUGCGUCUUACAUCCCCCUUUAGUGUAUCUCUUGCAAGCCCCUUAUUUGUAUCUUAUCCCCCCUCUUUGUAUGUCUCCUAUAUCCUCCCAACAUUUUUAUGUGUUUUACUCCUCCCAGCCUCUUUCUGUGUCUCCCUCCCAAGCCCCUCUGUGUUUCUUUCUCCCCUACCAACACUUUUGUGCUUCUCUUUCCCCUCUUCCUUAGCCUCUCUGUGUGUCUUCCACUCCCCUGUUGCUAAAUAAUCUCUUUCACUCCCACCUAUCCAUUGGUGGUCUUCUCUCCUCCCCCUGUCCUUUAGAGAUCUCUCCUCUUGUCUCUUACUGCUCUCCCUUCCUGUCCAUUAGAGCUCACCCUCCUGUCCCUUAGUGCUCUCUCCUACCCCCCACCCCAUUAGUGGUCUUUCCUCCCCCUUGGUGGUCUCUCCUCUCCCCUCCCCUCCCCUUCCCUUAAUGGUCUCUCCUCUCCCCCUCCCCAUUAGUGGUCUCUCCUCUCCCCUCUCCCUCCUUGGUGAUCUCUCCUCUCUCCACCCCUCCCCUAGUGGUCUCAACUGUUCCCCCUCCCCUAGUGGACUCUCCUCCUCUAGUGGUCUCUCCUCUCACCCUGCCCUUAGUGGUCUCUCCUCCCUCCCCUCGUGGUCUCUCAUCUCCUGCAUGCACCCCAGAUGUUCUCUUCUCCCUCCCUCUCCUGGUGCUCUCUCCUCUCCCUCCUCUCCCCAGGUGGUCAAUCCUUCCCCCCUCCUCCCAUGGUGGUCUCUCCCCCCCUCCUCUCUCUCUCUCUCACCCCCUCCCCAGGUGGUCUCUCCUUCCUUCUCUCUCUCCCCACCUUCCCUCCCCAGGUGGUCUCUCCUUCUCUCUCUCCCCCCCCUACCUCCCCAGGUUGUCUCUCUCUUUGUUUUUACAGAUGUACCAUACAGAUGUCACUUUGUGUGUGUGUUCCAUUCUUUUAUUCAUAGGAAGUCUUUUAAACACUUUAGUGUAAUAUAUUCUCAAGUGCUGCUUGAAUUUGUUAUAAGAACAAGUCACAGCAGAUGAUUUCACUAUUAUUAUUAUUAUUAUACAUUUAUUAAGUGGUAACUAUCACGGCAAGGGUGCAUAACUCAUUAUUGCACUAUGGAAUAUUGUCUUUGAAGCUGGGACCUCCACAGAGGUCAGAUGACAGAAGGGGUAGUGUAAAUUGCAUAGGAAUGUGAAAAGGGAAAGAUGCGUCCUGUGAUUAAUCAAAGGCUCUGGAAGGUGUGAGAUUCUACACUUCUGGCUUCAGCCAUAUGGCCGGUACUUCUUAAUUGAUGAGUCAAUUCUCUAAUAUGUUAAUGGCCAUUAGCCUUGUUCCAGUAUCAUAUCCAAAAGAAAAAACAUUAAUAUUUACCCAGAGAAUAAUAAUUAAGCCGCCUUUUUGUUAUAUUGGGAAUGUGACAAGCGCCAUCUUCUAAACAAGCCCAAACAUGUUUAGCAUAACUUAACCAUAGGGGAAGGGAUUGUGAUGUCCGCUAUAUUGGGUCGCAAGGCGUGUGAAAUAUCUAUGAAAUGGAAAAAUAAUAACAAAUUCGUAGAUGCAAUUAUUAUUUCUGUGGCAUAUACAUAAGAGAAAAUAGAACAAAAUGUUUCCAUUUGGAUUGAUGUGGGUUUGGACACAAGGGGGUUGGUCACUUAGUGUCUCUUUAGAUAUGCCUUAACUCCACCUCUGGGUGAAUUGUGGUAAUCCACGGGGUAUAUCUCUAGUGAUACUGAAGUGUGCCUGGUACUUGCUUGAGGGGCAGAAUCUAAUUCUAAGUGAGUCACCAUCUUUCCUACCAGAGAUCCCCCUGGGGCAGAAGUAUUUACUUUGAAGAGCUGUGUAAGUGAUUAUGACUUUCUGUUAUUUUAUCCCUUUUGUUUUUAUCUGUCAUUGGUGUAAAUAAUUUUGAUUGUCAUCUAUAUUUCUGAAUACACUGUGACUAUUUUUUGCUCAUAAUAAAUAUUCCUUUAUUAAGUUCUGCCUUUUUCUGGGAAAGAAUCACGUUACCUGAAGAGACUAAUGAGUUUUGUUGCAAUUCAUUGAAUAUUGUGCUAAGUUGUAUUUGGUGAAUUUUUAUUAUUGAUUUACCUUGGGGACCAAGGCACCCCAUUUAUAAAUAGGCUUGGUGGUGGCAGCGUUAAAAUAGUAAUGGGUGGUGUUAAGAGGGAUUUUGUCAUUAUUUCCGGUCUAGGGCUGACAAAUAGUCACAUCCACAUAUUCAUCAAACGCACACUCUUGAAGUAGGGUGCGUUUGUGACAGUAACCUGUGUUCAAAGUGUUGUAUAAGGAAAGAAAGACAAUUAAAAAGUAGAAUGUAUAUAAUAUAUAUAACAGUAUAAUAUAACAAUGAACGACAGACAUACAGAAAGACAGACAAACAGAUAGAUAGAUAGAUAGAUUAGAAGAAUUGAGAACCCUACCCCUAAACUUAUAAUCUAGCAUUUACACUGAUCAGCCGCAACGCUAAAACCACUGACAGGUGAAAUGAAUAACGUUGAAUAGGCAGCAAUUAAAAAGUCAGUUCUUGAAUUUCAGGUUUUGGAAGCAGGAAAAAUGGGCAAGUAAAAAGAUCUGAGUUACUUUGACAAGGGCUAGAUGACAGAGCAUCUCCAAAAUGGCAAGUCUUGUAGGGUGUUCCUGGUACGCAGUGGUUAGUAUCUACCAAAUGUGGUGCAAGAAAGCACGACCAGUAAACUGGCAUUAGACUUAAGGACGCCCAAGGCUCAUUGAUGCAUAUGGGGUGUGAUAGCUAGCUUGCCUUUUCCUAUCACACAGAACAACUACUGUUGCUCAAAUUCCAGAAAAUAUUAAUGCUGGCCAUGAUAGAAAGGUGUCAGAACACACAGUACAUUUCAGUUUGCUGCAUAUGGGGCUGCGUAGCCGCACACCAUUCAGAGUGCUCAUGGUGACCCUAGUCCACAGCUGAAAAGCGCCUUCAGUGGAGACGUGAGUGGCAGGACUGGACCAUGGAGCAAUGGAAAAAAGUUGCCUGAUCCGAUGAAUUAUGUUUUCUUUCAGAUCAGUUGGAUGGCCGGUUGCAUGUACUUCAUUUACCAGUAGAAAAGAUGGCAGCAGGAAGCACUGUUGGGAGAAGACAUGCCAGCAAUGUUCUGCUGGCAUACUCUGCGCUUCGCAUUCAUGUGGAUGUUACUUUGACAUGCCCCCCUAUCUAGAG
rnacentral:lncRNA from 1 species